UACGUAGGGGGCAAGCGUUGUUCGGAUUUACUGGGCGUAAAGGGCGCGUAGGCGGCAAUUCAAGUCAGCUGUGAAAUCUCCGGGCUUAACUCGGAACGGUCAGCUGAUACUGCUUUGCUAGAGUGCAGAAGGGGCAAUCGGAAUUCUUGGUGUAGCGGUGAAAUGCGUAGAUAUCAAGAGGAACACCUGAGGCGAAGGCGGGUUGCUGGGCUGACACUGACGCUGAUGCGCGAAAGCCAGGGGAGCAAACGGG
rnacentral:rRNA from 1 species